AGGAGAGAAUCUCCUCCAGGAAUUUAUGACCUGCCUAACAGAGCCUGGUGUCGGGAGUAUAGAGAGAGAGGGGAUGGUGCUUGCUGUACCCAAAGAGUGAUUUUAAAGUUAGAUACUGGAUGUAUUCAGUCGGGAACAAAGGCAUGUUAGCGUUAGCUAACGUUAGCUAAACCAUUUCUGCCUCAAUGGGUAACUAGCAGUAGCUAGUUAGCUAUUAGCUCACAUUAAAUUGCACAAGAGGUCACCGAAUUGACCAGUCAACAGAAGCUAGCUAACGGGUGACUUUUAACACAGAUCAGUGAAGAGGAAGUAGGACUUGGACAAUUUGGACGACACGUCGCUACAUAUAUCAGUAAAGUCUUGUUGCGCACCCUGACACGGGAUGAUAGAAGGGAUAUUUUUCCAGGACCAGAGCACAUUCUGAGGAGAAGCAGUAUCUUGCAAACAAUCCAUCCUGAGAGGACCUGAGCCCUAGGACCAUGCCUCAGGUCUACCCGGCCUGAUGACUACUUGCGGUCCCCAGUCCACCUGGCCCUGCUGCUGCUCCAGUUUAAACUGUUCUGCCUGCGGCUAUGGAACCAUGACCUGUUCACCGGACGUGCUACUUGUCCCAGACCUGAUGUUUUCAACUCUCAAGAGACAGCAGGAGCGGUAGAGAUACUCUGAAUGAUCGGCUAUGAAAAGCCAGCUGACAUUUACUCCUGAGGUGCUGACCUGUUGCACCAUUGACAACCACUGUGAUUAUUAUUAUUUGACCCUGCUGGUCAUCUAUGAACAUUUGAGCAUAUUGGCCAUGUUCUGUAAUAAUCUCCACCCGGCACAGCCAGAAGAGGACUGGCCACCCCUCAUAGCCUGGUUCCUCUCUAGGUUUCUUCCUAGGUUCUGGCCUUCCUGAGGAGUUUCUCCUAGCCACUGUGCUUCUACACCUGCAUUGCUUGCUGUUUGGGGUUUUAGGCUGGGUUUCUGUACAGCACUUUGAGAUAUCAGCUGAUGUAAGAAGGGC
ensembl:lncRNA